rnacentral:rRNA from 1 species
UACGUAGGGCGCGAGCGUUGUCCGGAAUUAUUGGGCGUAAAGAGCUCGUAGGCGGCUUGUUGCGUCGGCUGUGAAAACCCAUGGCUCAACCGUGGGCUUGCAGCCGAUACGGGCAGGCUAGAGUUCGGUAGGGGAGACUGGAAUUCCUGGUGUAGCGGUGAAAUGCGCAGAUAUCAGGAGGAACACCGGUGGCGAAGGCGGGUCUCUGGGCCGAUACUGACGCUGAGGAGCGAAAGCGUGGGGAGCGAACAGG